rnacentral:rRNA from 1 species
AACGCGAAGAACCUUACCUGGGCUUGAAAGACAGAUGACAGUCUCCGAAAGGAGAUCUUUCGCAAGAACAUCUGUCUAGGUGCUGCAUGGCUGUCGUCAGCUCGUGCCGUGAGGUGUCGGGUUAAGUCCCAUAACGAGCGCAACCCCUAUUUCUAGUUGCCAUACCUUAAUUGGUGGAACUCUAGAGAAACUGCCAGCGUAAGCUGUGAGGAAGGAGGGGAUGACGUCAAGUCAGCACGGCCCUUACGUCCAGGGCUACACACGUGCUACAAUGGCCGGUACAAUGGGUCGCUACACAGCAAUGUGAUGCUAAUCUCAAAAACCGGUCCCAGUUCGGAUUGAAGUCUGCAAUUCGACUUCAUGAAGCUGGAUUCGCUAGUAAUCGGAUAUCAGCUACGAUCCGGUGAAUACGUUCCCGGGCCUUGUACACACCGUACGUC